CAACUUUCAACAACGGAUCUCUUGGCUCUCGCAUCGAUGAAGAACGCAGCGAAAUGCGAUACGUAAUGUGAAUUGCAGAAUUCAGUGAAUCAUCGAAUCUUUGAACGCACCUUGCGCCCCUUGGUAUUCCGAGGGGCACRCCCGUUU
rnacentral:rRNA from 1 species